CAUAUACACUCAUACAAAAGGUCCUGCAGCAUGCAAGGGUAGGCUGAACACACAACAUUUGAAGGCAGAUGUCAUCUCAUGGAGCAUUCGGCAAAACUCCCAGAGAGUCUGGAAGCAAAACAGGAUACGAUGAACUAAAGAUUCUCACUUAUCAAUGA
rnacentral:lncRNA from 1 species